AGGAAAGGUGAGCUAUGGAAGAGGUAGC
rnacentral:piRNA from 1 species